ensembl:lncRNA
AUGUCCCCGGGCCCGAAGCCCCGCGGCGGGCGGCCCCCCCCGCGCGCGGCCGAGGUGGGGCGCCUCGUGUCCCCGCCCCGCGCCGCCGCGCUCCCCCGCGCCCGCCGGGGACAUGGUACGUUCCAGUGGCCCCGCGCUCAGCCCCGCCGGGGGGGCUUCGGCGGCGGCGGGGAGGACGCGGCGGCGGCGGCGGCGGCGGCGGCGCACGAGGGGCUGGGGCUGGGGCUGGGGCCGGCGAGCCGCGGCCGAGGGCGCAGCAGCGAGCCGAGAGCCGCACCCCCGCCGCCCCGGGCCGCGGCCACGGCCACGGCCGGCAGCAGCAGCGGCGGCGGCGGCUUCGCCCCUCGCUGGCACCCGGCGGGCCCCCCGCGGGCUGGCAUGACUCUGUUCGGCAGCGAAGAAGCGUGUCGGAGAUAUUUAGACAUGGCCAGAGACCCCAAAGGGAGCCGGGCCCGGCCCGGCCAGAAGCGACAGCACAGCGCUACCCUCUACCACAGUAACUGUGACCUGAACUAUGAGCUGUAUCGGGAAGACUUCCCCUACAGGGUGUAUGAAUAUCAGAGGAUCCCCCCACUUAUCAACCGAGCGCCUGUCAAGAGCAGACGGACUCACAUGGGAACAGGGGGCAAGAGUGGCCUCAACCCCCACAUCCCCCCACGAAGCAACAACCCACCCCCUGUCCGGACAAAGUUAAGAGCUGAGGAGCUGCACUCGAUCAAGGGGGAGCUGAGCCAGAUCAAAGCCCAGGUGGACAGUCUGCUCGAGAGUCUGGAGCGCAUGGAUCAGCGGCGAGACCGGCUGGGAGGGCCCCAAGACAGUGAGAAGAAGGUGGCCUCGGCCGGCGGGGAGUCCUCCAGUGCGGCCACGGAGGCCCAGCGGGAGCCCAGGGGCAAAGAGAGCCCGGAGGCCAGAGCUCGCAGCCGCAGGGAGGCCGACAGUGCUGAAGAGAGCACGGACACGGAGGAGGCGGUGAGGAUGAAAAACCACACAUCGGACCCUGACGGGAGCCAGUAGAAGCACUGGGGCCCUUCCUGGGUCGGCCUCCCAGCCGGUGCCACGUGAGACCUGCCCUCCAGCCUCUCCUCCAGAAGCUGGGCACAAGUCCCUGAGGUGCAGGCCUAGAGAAUGGGCCUGGGGAGGCAGGAAAAUCCAGCAGGUCUAGAAUUUCCCUUUGAAAAAACUCCACCCUCCUUUCCUCUGUGCUGUUUCCCCCACCUCAUGAAAAAGGGGUUCCCUUGGUAGUAAGGCUUGGCAGGACGGGCAUUUGGGGGAAGCAUCUGGGCCAACAAUUCCAAGUUCUUCCCAAAUUGCUCAGUGAUGAUUUUCAGUUCCCCGUCCCCACCGGGUACCCACUCAUUUCUUCUUGAAGAAACAUUCCCAGGGGUAGAAACCCCCCCAUCUCUUGGACAGUCAGUCCAUUUACAACAGUAUUGGCUCUCUUCCUGGCUCCAGCAGACACGACCCAGGUUUUGCUCUCAAUAUUAGCCAUUCGACACAGAAACCCCCAGUGUUCCUUAUGGGGCUCCCCCAGCUUUCUUUCUGCCCAGCCAGUGUUGGGGAGACAUUGGCCGCAUACCCCCUCAUCCCCGCGAUGUGAGGUGAGAUCGAUACCAUUCUGUGCUUUCUCUGGUCCCCGAGAACCCCUACCAAGCCAGGCCAAGGGCAGCCGCCUCAGCUCCUGGUGGCUCAUCAAGGUUCCCCCUUUUCCCAGCACCCCGUGGCUUCAAUGUUUUGCACUAUUAGCCUUCAUGUGACCCCUUCUUCUCCCCCGGCCCCUGCAGAAUUCCAUACCCACAGUGGUGCAUGGGAAAUGAGUUCUGUUUCCGACAGGUGCGUUUCUGCUCCGUAGAAGAUAAGUCAGGUCCUUGGUCGAUGUUGCCCCGGUUAGCCCCGUUACUUCCUUGUCCCCCCUUCCCCCAUGCUGUCCUUUCAGAACAGGUGUAGUUCAUUCUUAUGUCCAGUUUCUAGCUUGUCUUCUUGCUGGUAUGAUACUGUGUAUUUCAAAUCUGCUCUGGAAAAGUGUAUUGUGUUGAAAGGAAAAAAAAUUAAAAGUUUGUAUUUCUUUUCUCUGGUUAAAUCGAUUCUGUAUGAGUUCCUUCUCUGCUCUCCCCCAACCACGUUGCAGGCCCUGGGCCCUUCCAGGGUUCCUGGGACCGACCCUCCAGAUCAAAACACCCAGACGGCCCUAGACCUCCUGGAAAUGUCCACCCCGUGGCUUGUUGGGGGGAUGGGGAACCCCCCCUUGGGCAGCUCAGCUCUGAAUUCCUUACCCGUUUGUGUCCCAGCCACUGGCACCCAGGCCCCUUUAGGGCACCCAUCCCCAGGAUCCUCCCUCCCCGGGAGCCAGGAUCCCACCCCUGGCCUUACUCCAUGCUUGGGGUUCCAAGUAGACCAAAUAAAGCCGCCCUUGGCAGGGCCCACUUGGGUUCCGUGGCAGAGUCCCCCGUGAGUGACCCCGCGCUUUCCGGCCUUUUUAGGUCC